rnacentral:rRNA from 1 species
GACGAACGCUGGCGGCGUGCUUAACACAUGCAAGUCGAACGGAAAGGCCCUGCUUUUGUGGGGUGCUCGAGUGGCGAACGGGUGAGUAACACGUGAGUAACCUGCCCUUGACUUUGGGAUAACUUCAGGAAACUGGGGCUAAUACCGUAUAGGAGCUCCUGCUGCAUGGUGGGGGUUGGAAAGUUUCGGCGGUUGGGGAUGGACUCGCGGCUUAUCAGCUUGUUGGUGGGGUAGUGGCUUACCAAGGCUUUGACGGGUAGCCGGCCUGAGAGGGUGACCGGCCCCCUUGGGACUGUGAUACGGGCCACAGUCCUACGGGAUGCAGGAGUGGGGAAUAUUGCAUGAUGGGCGGAAGCCUGAUGCAGCAACGCCGCGUGCGGGAUGACGGCCUUCGGGUUGUAAGCCGCUUUCGCCUGUGACGAAGCGUGAGUGACGGUAAUGGGUAAAGAAGCACCGGCUAACUACGUG